GCCACUACAAGAUUUCUUCUUCUUGAUCUGCAUUACUGUUAUCCAAAAGUAUUGAUCGAAUUACUUGUUUGUGAUACUGUAACAGAUGUUGUGUAAGGAGAUUAAGCAGCUCUGAUCACUCAUCAAUGGGAGACUGACAACACCAUCAGAAGUUUUCUUCAGAUCUAAAUCCUGUGGUCCUAUGAAAGGCAACAGCGACAGAGAAAGAGAUGCUGACAAAUGAGGAAGCAGAGAACAAACAUCAUGAAUCAAGUGUUCACGUCAUGUGCCGGCAAAGGAUGAGUGCUCUGAGUGGGGGUGGGACCAGACCCUAUAGGUCAGCCAGCCUCUGAGGGACAAGACUGAUUGAUGACAUUGGCCUAAUCCUCCAUGUGGGGGUGGGGUUCCCUGCUCUGAGAUCUUGGCUUGGACCCCACCCAACUAAAAGAUUUUACUUCUGUUUAGAGUGUAAAUUGAAUCUAAUCUAGGUGAAUUCCAGCCCCAAAGCAUCAAGUCUAUGCCCUUGCACCCCUUCAUUGGAGUUUAGGGUAACCUAGCUCAUGAAGGAGAAAACCAAUCAGAGUGGUCUGGGUAGAUAAGGAUUCCUUGGUCCAAAUUGCUGGAGGCAGCUGAGGCUCAUGAUUAAGCCAGGAUCUCAGCAGGAGGAGCUGAAACUUUUAGCUUGCCUCCUUAUUAAUAUGCCUCCCCCUCAUUAAUUGUUCACCAAUCAGGGUUGAUUUUCACCUGUCAGGAGCAACCCCUUUUCUAAAAAUAUAUUAAGGUAUUCAGUGUCUCCAUUAGGGGUCUUUGGUUAUGGAGAGAGACCACUGACCAUCAAUUUACUGAUUAUCAGCU